rnacentral:tRNA from 1 species
GGAGGGCUCGCAUAGUGGCCUAGUGCGGCGGUCUUGAAAACCGCUGUUGGGUAACCCCCAACCGAGAGUUCGAAUCUCUCGCCCUCCG